AGAGAGAGACAUGCGCGCAUAUCAAUAAGCGGAGGAAAAGAAACUAACAAGGAUUCCCCUAGUAACGGCGAGUGAAGCGGGAAGAGCUCAAAUUUGAAAUCUUAAAGGGUUUCCCUUUACGAAUUGUAGUUUAAAGAAGUGUUUUCUGUUGAGGUUUUGGUAAAAGUUCUUUGGAAUAGGACAUCAUAGAGGGUGAGAAUCCCGUAUUUGACCUUUACUUUCAACUUUGUGAUACACUUUCAAAGAGUCGGAUUGUUUGGGAAUGCAGUCCAAAAUGGGUGGUAAAUUUCAUCUAAAGCUAAAUAUUGGCGAGAGACCGAUAGCGAACAAGUACCGUGAGGGAAAGAUGAAAAGAACUUUGAAAAGAGAGUUAAAGCAGUACGUGAAAUUGUCAAAAGGGAAGCGUUUGACACCAGUGUUGUUUUUCUGAAAAUCAAUUAAAGAACUGUUUAUGCUAAGCUGUUUAGACUUUAUCAGCUAAUCUGUUUAGUUUUGAGCUUUUCUUUAAUGCACUUUUCAGUUAACAAGUCAACAUCAAUUUCUUUUGCUGUAAGAAAGCUUGAGGAAGGUGGCUUGAGAUUCGUCUUAAGUGUUUAUAGCCUCUCGCCUAUGCAGUCGGAGAGAUUGAGGUCUGCAGCGUAGAUCCUUCGGGGCUAAAUGCAUUUGUGCUAAGUUAUAGCAUUUUAUAGACAACUUGUUGACUAUGAUUUGUCUUGUAGCUUACUCGCUUAUGUUAUUUUACCUACGCUUAGGAUGUUGAGCGCAUGUCUCUCUCU
rnacentral:rRNA from 1 species